CCUACGGGUGGCAGCAGUCGAGAAUUAUUCACAAUGGGGGAAACCCUGAUGGUGCGACGCCGCGUGGGGGAAUGAAGGUCUUCGGAUUGUAAACCCCUGUCAUGUGGGAGCAAAUUAAAAAGAUAGUACCACAAGAGGAAGAGACGGCUAACUCUGUGCCAGCAGCCGCGGUACUACAGAGGUCUCAAGCGUUGUUCGGAAUAACUGGGCGUAAAGCGUGCGUAGGCUGUUUCGUAAGUCGUGUGUGAAAGGCGCGGACUCAACCCGCGGACGGCACAUGAUACUGCGAGACUAGAGUAAUGGAGGGGGAACCGGAAUUCUCGGUGUAGCAGUGAAAUGCGUAGAUAUCGAGAGGAACACUCGUGGCGAAGGCGGGUUCCUGGACAUUAACUGACGCUGAGGCACGAAGGCCAGGGGAGCGAAAGGGAUUAGAUACCCGGGUAGUC
rnacentral:rRNA from 1 species